rnacentral:rRNA from 1 species
GAUGAACGCUGGCGGCGUGCCUAAUACAUGCAAGUCGAGCGAACAGACGAGGAGCUUGCUCCUCUGACGUUAGCGGCGGACGGGUGAGUAACACGUGGAUAACCUACCUAUAAGACUGGGAUAACUUCGGGAAACCGGAGCUAAUACCGGAUAAUAUAUUGAACCGCAUGGUUCAAUAGUGAAAGACGGUUUUGCUGUCACUUAUAGAUGGAUCCGCGCCGCAUUAGCUAGUUGGUAAGGUAACGGCUUACCAAGGCAACGAUGCGUAGCCGACCUGAGAGGGUGAUCGGCCACCCUGGAACUGAGACACGGUCCAGACUCCUACGGGAGGCAGCAGUAGGGAAUCUUCCGCAAUGGGCGAAAGCUUGACGGAGCAACGCCGCGUGAGUGAUGAAGGUCUUCGGAUCGUAAAACUCUGUUAUUAGGGAAGAACAAAUGUGUAAGUAACUAUGCACGUCUUGACGGUACCUAAUCAGAAAGCCACGGCUAACUACGUG